NNNNNNNNNNNNNNNNNNNNNNNNNNNNNNNNNNNNNNNNNNNNNNNNNNNNNNNNNNNNNUUGGGCAAACGUAUUAAUGGAUUUAAAGGCAGAAGAAGCCUGGUAUUACUUUAAGUUAAAGAUGCAUGAGCUGUCGGAGGCCUGUAUUCCCAAAAAGGGAAAAAGAUUACCAAGCAAGAGAUUUAGACCGAGCUGGAUGAGCGACCGACUCAAAGGGGCGAUUAGGAAAAAACAGAAAGCGUACAAAGAGUGGAAGAGGGGAAGGAUCAGUAAGGAAAUGUACCUAAGUGAAGUCAGAGAAUGUAGAGAUAGAGUGAGAAAGGCCAAAGGCCGUGUAGAAUUGGACCUAGCGAGGGGAAUUAAAAGCAAUAGUAAGAGGUUUUACAGCCACAUAAAUAAGAAGAAAGCAAAGAAAGAAGAAGUGGGACCACUGAAGACUAUUGUCAGAGAGGAGAUUAAAGACAAUCUAGGCAUGGCGCAAUAUCUCAAUGAAUAUUUUGCAUCAGUGUUUAAUGAGGCCAAUGAAGGUAUUAGGGAUACUAGCACCACUACAGAGGGGCAUUCAGGAUGGGGGAUUACCGUAUCCGAGGUAGAAACAAAACUUGAACACCUUAAUGGGGCUAAAUCGGGAGGACCGGACGAUCUUCAUCCGAGAACAUUGAAGGAAUUGGCGCGGGAAAUAGCAGGCCCAUUAGCGAUAAUAUUUAAUGAAUCUGUAAACUCGGGGGUGGUCCCGUUAGACUGGAGAAUAGCUAAUGUGGUUCCUAUUUUCAAGAAAGGGAAAAAAAGUGAUCCGGAUAACUACAGGCCUGUUAGUUUAACAUCUGUGGUGUGCAAGGUGUUAGAGAAAAUUCUGAAAGAGAAACUAGUUGAGGACCUGGAGGUUAAUGGCAAUUGCGAUAAAUUAGAACAUGGUUUUACGAAGGGCAGAUCGUGCCAAACGAAUCUGAUCUCCUUCUUUGAGAAAGUAACGGAUUUAUUAGAUAAGGGAAAUGCGGUGGACCUAAUAUACCUGGAUACUGUACCCCAUGAGGAAUUAUUGGUUAAACUGAAAAACAUGGGGAUCGAUAUGAAAAUCCAGAGGUGGAUAAGGAAUUGGUUAAUGGGGAGAAUGCUGCGGGUCGUAUUGAAGGGUGAACUGUCAGGUUGGAGGGAGGUUACUAGUGGAGUGCCUCAAGGUUCGGUUUUGGGACCCAUUUUAUUUAAUCUAUUUAUAACUGACCUCGGAACCGAUUGCAGGAGUGGGCUGAUAAAGUUUGCGGAUGAUACGAAGGUGGGAGGCGUUGUAAAUUCGGAGGAGGAUAGGGAUAUCCUGCAAGGAGACUUGAAUGAGCUUGUGAAUUGGAGUAUCAG
rnacentral:lncRNA from 1 species